rnacentral:misc_RNA from 1 species
GGAAGGAUCAUUAACAUUUUCCAAACCUUUCAACUCAACCCAAACCCCGUGUUAUUUGUUAUCUCUCUCAAAGUAUAUAUGUGAAACGAUCAGUCUUGCCGUCUUGAGGACAAACCUAGCGUUCCCGGUAUUCUUUUUGGUUCGUGCUUGUUUUUCUGUUAGACAUGUAACUGACUCAUAGCGUUCGCGGUACCUUUUUUGGCUUCGGCUGAAACUGGGAAAGGAUUAGUCUUUUGUUGGUUUGGUUUGGCAGGGAGCUUGUGCUUCUUUAAGGAGAAAGGAUCAGUCUUUUGCUCUUGGAUUUCUUGACUUGUGUGGAGCUCAUAGCGUUCGCGGUACCUUAUUUUUGGCUUCGGCUAGGAAUUUGGGAAAGGAUUAGUCUUUUGCUUCUGCAAGUUGUGUUUUUCUGAGGCUCACUUAGCGUUCCCGGUAUUCGUUGUCCGCUUGCGGCUUCGAAGAAAGGAUCAGUCUUUUGUUUCUUGAGCGAUGCGUUCGCAUGUAACAUAUAUACCAAAUGUUUUCCUUUGUAUUACCCCCUAUCAAACAGUUUUUAGAACAGUAAAGGGUCACUGGCUGUAAUGGCUGGGACCUGUAUUUAUAGAAAUAUAAAUCGAACCUAUACAACACUAAGCGGUGGAUGUCUCGGCUCUUAUAACGAUGAAGAACGCAGCGAAAUGCGAUACGUAAUGCGAAUUGCAGUCAUCCGUGAAUCAUCGAAUCUUUGAACGCACAUUGCGCUUUCGGGUUAUGCCUGAAAGCACGCCUCUCUGAGUAUCUGUUUUACAUAACAUCGCCAACGUGCGGAUAAUGAGUUUCUUGCUGAUAACCAAAGCGAGUCACUUGAAAUUUAUUGAGCUCUUAGUAUUCGAAUGAAUAUAAAAUAAUAGAGAGUGUUUUAGGGAAGUUGAUGAAAAACCGAAAGCCAGCGUUUCGAAAGGCGUUCCGGUGCUCUUAGCGACUGAUCAGGUUGACUUUCUUCGGAGAGUUGGCCCUCGUUCGUAAAGAGAGUUAUCAACGUUAGCCAGUGAGACUUCGGUCUUGCAACUUUCGUUGUGUAGCUCACUCCAAAUCUUUGCGUGACGGGUAAGUUGGCUGCGGUUCACAUGUGAUUAGAUUUCUUUUGAAUUAGUCAAGGCCUGUAAGGAAGUAGUUGACCAGAGUACUUAAAGCGUCCUUUCGUCCUUUUUAUUUCGUUUCUGAAUCUGCGAAUUGUUUUUCCUGGUUUUCUGUGGGAGAACACUUUCUGGUGUUUUUCCGCGUCUGAUUGAAAAACCUUUUAUGUCAAAACAAUUAGAUCUCAGAUGAAGCGAGAUUACCCCCUGGAUUUAAGCAUAUUAUUAAGGGGAGGAAAAGAAACUAACAAGGAUUCCCCUAGUAGCGGCGAGCGAACCGGGAGAAGCUCAAGGUGGUAAUCGGAGUGCCUAGCGGUGCUUCGAGUUGUGCCCUAAGAACGUGUUGCCAGUUAUGACCUGUGUAUAAAUCCUUUGGAACAGGGUAUCAAGAGGGUGAGAAUCCCGUAUUUGACGCAGAGUUUGUAACGUACGGUGCAUGUUUCACGAGUCGAGUUGCUUGGGAGUGCAGCUCUAAGUGGGAGGUAAAUUCCUUCUAAAGCUAAAUACUGAUAAGAGACCGAUAGCGAACAAGUACCGUGAGGGAAAGAUGAAAAGAACUUUGAAAGAGAGUUAAAUAGUACCUGAAACCGCUUAGUGGGAAGCGCUGGAAGCUAGUCAUAUAUGCCGUUACGUGUCUUGCUUGCUUUUUGGUGCUGUGUGUGCUAGCCUUAGGGUAAUUCCAGGGUGUGGUUACUGCAGUGCUGGGAGGUAGGUGGCGAUGCGUACAUGCGUGUCAGGAUCAGUUUGAGUUGGAGGAGAAAGCUGUCGAGGGGUGGCUCUUCGAGAUUCUACUCGUGCAGUAAUUAACUUUGGCUUGGACUGAGGUAAGAUAACGUACUGUUUUGCGCGAACUUGCUUACGGCUUGCUGUGCAGGGGCAAUACGAAAAGUAUUAACUCUUGUGUGGUGGGUUGCUGAGUGGGGUAGCAGCUGGGACAGUCGGGAUCCUGACGAAAUAGCUUUCAUCGACCCGUCUUGAAACACGGACCAAGGAGUCUAACAUAUAUGCGAGUGUUUUAGUUGUAAACUAUUACGCGAAAUGAAAGUGAAGCUAGGUUCGUCCUAGUGAGAUAGGAAUCCUUGGCAACGAGGAGGCACUAUCGACCGAUCGUCGCUUGCGAUAGAUUUGAGUAAGAGCAUAUCUGUUGGGACCCGAAAGAUGGUGAUCUAUGCCUGAACAGGCCGAAGCCAGGGGAAACUCUGGUGGAGGGUCGUAGCGAUACUGACGUGCAAAUCGUUCGUCUGAUUUGGGUAUAGGGGCGAAAGACUAAUCGAACUAUCUAGUAGCUGGUUCCCUC